rnacentral:rRNA from 1 species
AUCGUUCGCUGGCGGCAGGCCUAACACAUGCAAGUCGAGCGGUAGAGAGAAGCUUGCUUUUCUUGAGAGCGGCGGACGGGUGAGUAAUGCCUAGGAAUCUGCCUGGUAGUGGGGGAUAACGUUCGGAAACGGACGCUAAUACCGCAUACGUCCUACGGGAGAAAGCAGGGGACCUUCGGGCCUUGCGCUAUCAGAUGAGCCUAGGUCGGAUUAGCUAGUUGGUGAGGUAAUGGCUCACCAAGGCGACGAUCCGUAACUGGUCUGAGAGGAUGAUCAGUCACACUGGAACUGAGACACGGUCCAGACUCCUACGGGAGGCAGCAGUGGGGAAUAUUGGACAAUGGGCGAAAGCCUGAUCCAGCCAUGCCGCGUGUGUGAAGAAGGUCUUCGGAUUGUAAAGCACUUUAAGUUGGGAGGAAGGGCAGUAAAUUAAUACUUUGCUGUUUUGACGUUACCGACAGAAUAAGCACCGGCUAACUCUGUGCCAGCAGCCGCGGUAAUACAGAGGGUGCAAGCGUUAAUCGGAAUUACUGGGCGUAUAGCGCGCGUAGGUGGUUUGUUAAGUUGGAUGUGAAAUCCCCGGGCUCAACCUGGGAACUGCAUUCAAAAAUGAACUGAUUAGAAUUAUGGUGGAGGGUGGUUGAAAUUCCCUGUGUAGCGGUGAAAUGCGUAGAUAUAGGAAAGAACCCCAAGGGCGAAGGCGACCACCUGGGAUAAUUCUGACACUGAGGUGCGAAAGCGGGGGGAGCAAACAGGAUUAGAUACCCUGGUAGUCCACGCCGUAAACGAUGUCAACUAGCCGUUGGAAGCCUUGAGCUUUUAGUGGCGCAGCUAACGCAUUAAGUUGACCGCCUGGGGAGUACGGCCGCAAGGUUAAAACUCAAAUGAAUUGACGGGGGCCCGCACAAGCGGUGGAGCAUGUGGUUUAAUUCGAAGCAACGCGAAGAACCUUACCAGGCCUUGACAUCCAAUGAACUUUCUAGAGAUAGAUUGGUGCCUUCGGGAACAUUGAGACAGGUGCUGCAUGGCUGUCGUCAGCUCGUGUCGUGAGAUGUUGGGUUAAGUCCCGUAACGAGCGCAACCCUUGUCCUUAGUUACCAGCACGUCAUGGUGGGCACUCUAAGGAGACUGCCGGUGACAAACCGGAGGAAGGUGGGGAUGACGUCAAGUCAUCAUGGCCCUUACGGCCUGGGCUACACACGUGCUACAAUGGUCGGUACAGAGGGUUGCCAAGCCGCGAGGUGGAGCUAAUCCCACAAAACCGAUCGUAGUCCGGAUCGCAGUCUGCAACUCGACUGCGUGAAGUCGGAAUCGCUAGUAAUCGCGAAUCAGAAUGUCGCGGUGAAUACGUUCCCGGGCCU